rnacentral:lncRNA from 1 species
AACUCUGUGGGAGUUUAUUUUUGUGUAAAUACAUCAUCAAACAGCCCCUAAUUCAGUCCCAAGCUACAGUAUAUAAGAUGAGCCGCUGCCACACUUUGACAAGUUCAUCAGCUGGUAACAAACCUGCUCACAGCUCAGAUCUAGACUCAGAUUUGGUGCCUUUCAGCGUCUCAACAUGUGUUCGAGUCUCUCCACCAGCCGCCUGAUUCUUCUGAUCUCCCUGAGUGUGAUGAUGCUCAUCUUUGUAUCAGGGGCUGACCACGUGGGACAAACCUGCUAUAAAACAUAUUCUAACAGUGGUGUAAUAAACACGUCUACACCUAAAUGGGCAAAAAACAUCAUCAGCUGCAUUGAACAAAACAGACAUGGCUGCCUACAUGGAUAUGUGGUUAAAACACGUGUAGGAAGAACAUUUCUCCUCAGACCAAACACCGAGUGGCUUAAAAGGAAAAUAAAUGAGGUGAGAAACAAAAUAUUUAUAAAAAUGUGGAAACAAAGUUUAGAAAAACCAACAGUGACAUUCUAGCAAAAGUGUGACGAUUAUACUAUAGGUAAUAAAAAGACACUGUGUAUAUCUGUCUAAUGGUGCUUUAUGUCACCUUCUCUCUUUCACCACCACAGGGAACUCUGCUGUGUCCUCCAAUGAUUUCUAAAUGAUGAUGAUGGAAACGAUGAAGUAAAGUUGACGUAAAGCAGCAACUGGAACCAUUUCUGCUGUUUUAUUUGUUCAAACUUUUACAGAAAUAUUUGUUAAGAAAUGUUGAUUAUUUUUGUAAAUUGUUCAUAUGACUUGAGUCUUAUAUAUUAUAUUUAUUAAAAAUGUCAUUAAAUAUGAAUGUUUGACCGUUUUUAUUCUGUCUUCAAUCUGAGAAGAAAGAUAAACAAUAAAAGCCUUUAAAAUCAGAUUUAUAAUGGUGUGUGUCAUUAUUUAGUAUUUGCUGUAACAACAUAUUCUCAUGAUGAUGUCACAUUCACAGGACACCGGGAGGCUGUGUUUAACACAGAUGGCAGAAGUAAAAGUAAAUAUUCA